rnacentral:rRNA from 1 species
GGGACACGUGGUAUCCUGUCUGAAUAUGGGGGGACCAUCCUCCAAGGCUAAAUACUCCUGACUGACCGAUAGUGAACCAGUACCGUGAGGGAAAGGCGAAAAGAACCCCGGCGAGGGGAGUGAAAAAGAACCUGAAACCGUGUACGUACAAGCAGUGGGAGCACGCUUAGGCGUGUGACUGCGUACCUUUUGUAUAAUGGGUCAGCGACUUAUAUUCUGUAGCAAGGUUAACCGAAUAGGGGAGCCGAAGGGAAACCGAGUCUUAACUGGGCGUUAAGUU